AUGGGUAUGCAGGUUCUGAUGGAUGUCCGGUGUACGAACCUUGUCAACCCGGUAUGCGACUGGCUUGGUGAGAUAUACGAUCCCGCCUCCAGGGAAUUCGUGAUCCCGGGACGGGGAAGACUUCCAUUGAAUGAGGAAUCCGUGUUCUGCACUUUGGGUGUGCCUCGGGGACAUAUCAAAGUCCCGUACAAGGUUAAUAAUGAGAUCGAGGAAGAGCUGUUCGCCCGUUUGUUUCCUGGGUUGGAGGCAAUGCCGAACAUGUCUGUACUGGCAGAUUCUCUGCAGGACAUGACGACGCACGGAGAAGUUUUCAAGAUGAAGCUACUCAUGUACCUCAUCUCAGCUAUUUUCGCGCCGACCACUUCUCUUCGCCCAAGCAACAAAUGUUUCCCCAUCCUGGCGAAUCUGAAAAACGUGAAGAGUAUGAACUGGUGUAAGUUUAUUGCCGACUUUCUCCACGAUGCUUUCAAAAACAAGAUGUACCAGAAGGGUUGUCGUCUGCACUUAAUGCUCAUGUAUGUCGACUCUCUUGAUCUGCCCACCGUGGAUUUCACCGAGAUAGGAGGCCCGCCGCCUACUCACAAGUUUGCUGUUUCUGCGUGGACCAUCAGCGCUGUCAAGGCUGUGCUUGCCGCAGACAAGGCAACUGAUGGCACAUAUGGAAAACUACAGCUGAUGGCCAAGCAUGCUAUAGACUACAGCGUGUUUGGGGGGCCUCAAAAAUUUGAAAAGUGGAUGGACGUGCACUCAGCUCCGUCUUGCCCUUCUGAGGCGAGGGCACCAGUGGAGCAUCUAAUUGGGCAGUUUGCAUCCGGAAUGACCGGCCUGCUCGGGAAGUUGGUUGAGGGGUGGACGUCCCUCAGUGCCUCUGACAGCGACGCGGUUGCGAGGCAGUUCACUUCAUUUGUCCCAGAACGUACACAUCGGCCAACCGGUUGCCGUGGCCGGUAUGACUACAACAGCUCCCAAGAGCCCGGUGACACACAGGAUGAUGUGGAUGGAGACGCUGGCCUCAGCAAGGACGACGACGAUGACACUGAUGACGAUGAACACGCUGAAGUUCGCACAUGCGGCAACAAGGGCAAGGAUGCAACAGGUGCCCACCCACCGGAGAAAGUG
rnacentral:rRNA from 1 species